rnacentral:rRNA from 1 species
CCCGCAAGGGUUACCAAGCUCAGUCAAACUCCGAAUGCCAUGGAUUUAGUUCCGGGAGUCAGACAGUGAGUGCUAAGAUCCAUUGUCGAAAGGGAAACAGCCCAGACCAUCAGCUAAGGUCCCCAAGUGUGUGUUAAGUGGGAAAGGAUGUGGAGUUGCACAGACAACCAGGAUGUUGGCUUAGAAGCAGCCACCAUUGAAAGAGUGCGUAAUAGCUCACUGGUCGAGUGACUCUGCGCCGAAAAUGUAACGGGGCUAAACACACCACCGAAGCUAUGGCUUGAUGCUUUGCAUCAGGGGUAGGGGAGCGUUGAAUGCGGGUUGAAGGUGUACCGGAAGGAGCGCUGGACUGCAUUCAAGUGAGAAUGCCGGUAUGAGUAACGAAAAGAUCUGUGAGAAUCAGAUCCGCCGAAAGCCUAAGGGUUCCUGAGGAAGGUUCGUCCGCUCAGGGUAAGUCGGGACCUAAGGCGAGGCCGAUAGGCGUAGUCGAAGGACAACAGGUAGAAAUUCCUGUACCACCGUAAUCCGCUAUGAGCGAUGGGGUGACGCAGUAGGGUAGUGACGCGGACUGAUGGAUGUCCGUCUAAGCAGUGAGGCUGAUGUGUAGGCAAAUCCGCACAUCGUUAAGGCUGGGCUGUGAUGGGGAGCGAAAAUUGUAGUAGCGAAGGUCAUGAUCUCAGACUGCCAAGAAAAGCCUCUAGCCAGGAGAAGGUGCCCGUACCGCAAACCGACACAGGUAGGCGAGAAGAGAAUUCUAAGGCGCGCGGAAGAACUCUCGUUAAGGAACUCGGCAAAAUGACCCCGUAACUUCGGGAGAAGGGGUGCCUCGGUAGGGUGAAUAGCCCGAGGGGGCCGCAGUGAAAAGGCCCAAGCGACUGUUUAGCAAAAACACAGGUCUGUGCGAAGCCGCAAGGCGAAGUAUACGGGCUGACGCCUGCCCGGUGCUGGAAGGUUAAGGGGAGUGGUAAGCUCUUCGGGGCGAAGCUAUGAACCGAAGCCCCAGUAAACGGCGGCCGUAACUAUAACGGUCCUAAGGUAGCGAAAUUCCUUGUCAGGUAAAUUCUGACCCGCACGAAUGGCGUAACGACUUGGGCGCUGUCUCAACGAGAGAUCCGGUGAAAUUUUAAUACCUGUGAAGAUGCAGGUUACCCGCGACAAGACGGAAAGACCCCAUGGAGCUUUACUGCAGCUUGAUAUUGAAUUUGGGUACGAUCUGUACAGGAUAGGUGGGAGCCGUAGAACUUUGAGCGCCAGCUUGAAGGGAGGCAUCCUUGGGAUACCACCCUGAUCGUAUCUAGGUUCUAACUUGGUACCGUGAUCCGGUGCGAGGACAGUGUCAGGUGGGCAGUUUGACUGGGGCGGUCGCCUCCUAAAGAGUAACGGAGGCGCCCCAAGGUUCCCUCAGAAUGGUUGGAAAUCAUUCGAAGAGUGCAAAGGCAGAAGGGAGCUUGACUGCGAGACCUACAAGUCGAGCAGGGACGAAAGUCGGGCUUAGUGAUCCGGUGGUACCGCAUGGAAGGGCCAUCGCUCAACGGAUAAAAGCUACCCUGGGGAUAACAGGCUUAUCUCCCCCAAGAGUCCACAUCGACGGGGAGGUUUGGCACCUCGAUGUCGGCUCAUCGCAUCCUGGGGCUGAAGUAGGUCCCAAGGGUUGGGCUGUUCGCCCAUUAAAGCGGUACGCGAGCUGGGUUCAGAACGUCGUGAGACAGUUCGGUCCCUAUCUGUCGUGGGCGUAGGAAAUUUGAGAGGAGCUGUCCUUAGUACGAGAGGACCGGGAUGGACGUACCGCUGGUGUACCAGUUGUUCCGCCAGGAGCACCGCUGGGUAGCUAUGUACGGAAGGGAUAAGCGCUGAAAGCAUCUAAGCGUGAAGCCCCCUUAAGAUGAGAUUUCCCAAUUCGUAAGACCCCUUGAAGACGACGAGGUAGAUAGGUUGGGGGUGGAAGUGCAGUAAUGCAUGGAGCUGACCAAUACUAAUCGGUCGAGGGCUUAUCCU